UGAGGACUGGGGAGCAGAUUCUGGGGGCCUGCUGUGGUGAGUGUUUAAAAGCUCUCUCCCACACUCAGGCCUUAGCAUGGACUCAGGAAAAAGGGGAGGUACUAGUGAGUGGCCAUCUGUGGAUACCUGUUGGGGUCACUUCUGCUAUAAGAGCUGCUACCAAACUAGUUUUCCUGAGUCCUAGGAGAAAAAUGUCAAGUUCCAGACACCUCAGGACACCCCGCUAGGCUUUGUGCUCUGUGUAGCUCUUGAGGGACCCGAAAGAGAUGGACUGGUAGAAACAGGCUAGACCAUCACUGCUCUCCUCCCCCAUCAGCCUGACUCCGAGGUUGCAGAGGCUGGCCGCUGCCUGGAAGUGUUCUUUGAGGGCUGGUUGAAGGAGAUCUACCCGGAGAAACGGUUUGCCCAGCCAAGGCAGGAGGACUCAGACUCCGAGGAGGUGUCUAGUGAGAGUGGAUGUUCCACUCCCCAGGGCUUCCCGUGGCCUCCCUACAUGCAGGAGGGCAUCCAACCCAAGAGGCGGCGACGACAUAUGGAGAAUGAAAGAGCAAAAAGAAUGUCAUUUCGCCUGGCCAACAGCAUCUCUCAGGUGUGAGAGCCAAAAGGAGACUGGGCACUCUGGCAGCUGUUGUCCCAUACUGUCGACCAUUCCUCCCCAUCUUGCAGCUUAUCCUCUUCAGAGUGUGGAUGGUAGAUGAGUCUUGUUGAACUGUGUAGUGCUCUUCUUUGCCAUUUGCAUCUACAGCAUUUAUUUGGGAGCCGUAGUACAUCCACUACAGAGAAGAUUUCAGUAAUAAACAGGAAAGAGGAAGGUAUUUAUUAUUACCAGAGUAAUCAGAUGUAUAGGCUCCACUUGACAAGACCACACCUGGUUAGGCUCGGGAAAACCUACUUUCCUUGGUGAAUUUUUUUCUGCCUGGGAAAGCAGACCCGUCUAACCUUUUAGUGUCCAGGGCUCAGGAGCCAUGUA
rnacentral:lncRNA from 1 species